AAAUGCGAUAAGUAAUGUGAAUUGCAGAAUUCAGUGAAUCAUCGAAUCUUUGAACGCACAUUGCGCCCGUUAGCAUUCUAGCGGGCAUGCCUGUCCGAGCGUCAUUUCAACCCUCAGGGCCCCCCGUUCCGGCGGGCGGACCUGGCGUUGGGGAUCGGCCCGCCCCGUGCGGCGCCGUCCCCCAAAUACAGUGGCGGUCCCGCCGCAGCCUCCCCUGCGUAGUAGUUUACAACCUCGCAUCGGAGCGCGGCGCGGCCACGCCGUAAAACCCCCGACUUUCUGAACGUUGACCUCGGAUCAGGUAGGAAUACCCGCUGAACUUAAGC
rnacentral:misc_RNA from 1 species